rnacentral:rRNA from 1 species
UUUUGUGGUCAAGCUACCAAGGGCGCAUGGGGGAUGUCUCGGCGUUAGAAGGCGAUGAAGGGCGUGGAAGUCUGCGAUAAGCCCGGGGGAAUUGACAAACGAGUAUUGAUCCCGGGAUACCCGAAUUAGCGCACGCUGAAUACAUAGGCGUGUUGCGGCCAACCCGGUGAACUGAAACAUCUCAGUAACCGGAGGAAUAGAAAGAAAAAUCGAUUCCCUGAGUAGCGGCGAGCGAACGGGGAACAGCCCAAACCGUGGAGGUUUUCCUCCGCGGGGUUGUAGGGCCCUUCACAUGGGAGUUACAAAGCAACCUGCUAGCAGAACGACUUGGAACGGUCGGCCACAGAGGGUGACAGUCCCGUACGCGGCAGCAGUGUUGCCUCCCGAGGGGUACCUGAGUAGGUCGGGUCACGUGGAACCCCGACUGAAUCUACGGGGACCAUCCCGUAAGGCUAAAUACUCUCUAACGACCGAUAGUGAACUCAGUAGGGCGACUGAAAGAUGGGAAGAACCCCUGCCUAGGGGAGGAUAGUGAACCUGAAACCAUGCGCCUACAAGCGGUCGGAGCACUAUGGUCGCUUUGCGACAAUGUGUGACGGCGUGCCUUUUGCAUAAUGAUCCGGCGAGUUACCGUC